rnacentral:misc_RNA from 1 species
UUUCCGUAGGUGAACCUGCGGAAGGAUCAUUAUCGUGCCAAAUGUGAGGGGCAUGCGAGGGCUGUCGCUGGCCAAAAAGUCGUUUACGCGCGAGUGUGUCCUCUUGCAUAAUAAUCCAUCUCACCCUUGGGGCAUCACCGCGUGGGCAGCCCUCGGGAUCGUCUCGGGGUGGGGCUCGCGCUUUCACACAAACACCCCUCUUAAAAGUGUAGAAUGCUGACUUUUAUGCAAUCAAUACAACUUUCAACAACGGAUCUCUUGGUUCUG